CCAAGUGAAUAAGCGCAUUCGGUGAAUGCCUAGGCGGUAAAAGGCGAUGAAGGACGUGACAACCUGCGAUAAGCCUCGGGAAGUUGGUAAUAAACUUUGAUCCGGGGAUGUCCGAAUGGGGAAACCCAACUGUUUUUAACAGUUAUCAAAUACUGAAUACAUAGGUAUUUGAAGCAAACCCAGGGAACUGAAAUAUCUAAGUACCUGGAGGAAAAGAAAUCAACCGAGAUUCCCUUAGUAGCGACGAGCGAAAGGGGAACAGCCCAGAUACAAUAAUCUUAAAUUACUUAACAAAACGUUCUGGAAAGUUCGGCCAUAGUAGGUGAUAGCCCUGUAUGUGAAAAGUAUGAUAAGUGUGUAUCGAAGAGUAGAGCGAGGCACGUGAAACCUUGUUUGAACAUAGGGGGACCAUCCUCUAAGGCUAAAUACUAAUUACCGACCGAUAGUGAACCAGUACCGUGAGGGAAAGGCGAAAAGAACCCCGACGAGGGGAGUGAAAUAGAACCUGAAACCGUUUGCGUACAAGCAGUAGGAGCCCGUUUACGGGUGACUGCGUACCUUUUGUAUAAUGGGUCAGUGAGUUACUUUUAGUGGCAAGCUUAACUUUCUUAGGGAGGCGUAGGGAAACCGAGUCUUAAUAGGGCGUUUAGUCGCUAGGAGUAGACCCGAAACCAGGCGAUCUAUCCAUGGCCAGGGUGAAGGUGGGGUAAAACCUACUGGAGGCCCGAACCGGGUAAUGUUGAAAAAUUAUCGGAUGAGCUGUGGAUAGGAGUGAAAGGCUAAUCAAGCCUGGAGAUAGCUGGUUCUCCCCGAAAACUAUUUAGGUAGUGCCUCAUGUAUUACUCUCGGGGGUAGAGCACUGUUUCGGCUAGGGGGACAUCCCGUCUUACCAAACCGAUGCAAACUCCGAAUACCGAGAAGUAGAGCAUGGGAGACACACAGCGGGUGCUAACGUCCGUUGUGGAAAGGGAAACAACCCAGAUCGCCAACUAAGGUCCCAAAAUUACAGUUAAGUGGGAAACGAAGUGAGAAGUCAAAGACAGCCAGGAGGUUGGCUUAGAAGCAGCCAUCCUUUAAAGAAAGCGUAACAGCUCACUGGUCAAGUCGACUUGCGCGGAAGAUUUAACGGGGCUAAAACUGUGUACCGAAGUUGCGAAUGCUUAUCUUUUGAUAAGCGUGGUAGGGGAGCGUUCUGUAAGCCUAUGAAGGUGUGCUGCGAGGCAUGCUGGAGGUAUCAGAAGUGAGAAUGCUGACAUGAGUAACGAUAAUGCGGGUGAAAAACCUGCACGCCGAAAACCCAAGGGUUCCUGCGCAACGUUAAUCGACGCAGGGUUAGUCGGUUCCUAAGGCGAGACCGAAAGGUGUAGUCGAUGGACAACAGGUUAAUAUUCCUGUACCGCGUUUACUGCGAUGGGGGGACGGAGAAGGCUAAGCUUACCGGGUGUUGGUUAUCCCGGGAAAAGUAUGUAGGUAGGAAACUUUAGUAAAUCUGGGUUUCUAUUACUGAGGUACGAGACCAUCGAUUUUUUAAUCGAGAAGUAGCUGAUGCCACGCUUCCAAGAAAAUCCUCUAAGCUUCAGGUAAAACGUGACCGUACCCCAAACCGACACAGGUGGGUGGGAUGAGAAUUCUAAGGCGCUUGAGAAAAUUCUGGUGAAGGAACUAGGCAAAUUGGUACCGUAACUUCGGGAGAAGGUACGCCUUUGUUGGUGAUGGAACUUGCUUCCUAAGCUGACGAAGGUCUCAGAAACCAGGUGGCUGCGACUGUUUACUAAAAACACAGCACUCUGCAAACUCGUAAGAGGACGUAUAGGGUGUGACGCCUGCCCGGUGCCGGAAGGUUAAUUGAUCGGGUUAGCAUUUAUGCGAAGCUCGUGAUCGAAGCCCCGGUGAACGGCGGCCGUAACUAUAACGGUCCUAAGGUAGCGAAAUUCCUUGUCGGGUAAGUUCCG
rnacentral:rRNA from 1 species